CCCCUUAUGGUCCCAGUAAUGCAUGCCCAUAUAUGGCGCUACAGUAUACCUCCGACGGAGAAUGCAGGCUUUGAAUGCAAGAGGUCGUGGGAUCGAAACCCGGCGUGAGAGAUUCCAGAUGUGGUCAAGCAACCAGCCAGGACAGAGGAGAGGCCAUCUAUGUCAGGUGCACUCUUUUCUCACAUCAAGUACAAGCCAGACUCCCGGGAACAACACAUUAAAGAGGAGGCUAUAGCUAAAUGGGUAGCCCGGACAGCCCACCCUCUACAGACAGUAGAAGAGGAGGAAUUCAUCAACAUGAUAGGAAAAUAGAUAAAAGACUGACCGUACCAAAAAAGACCAAAAUUGCACACCUAGUGGACCAAAUGUGCCUAGCUGAAAAGGUCAAAUUCAAAAACAGACUGGCUAUGGCCUGCAAAGUGACCAUUGGCAUAGACAUAUGGACUAAAAAGGGGCUCACAGCCUCUUUCCUUGCUGUCAGUGCUUGCUAUUUCAAUGUUCAAGACAGUAAAGCUGAACACAUACUUCUAAACUUGAAGCAAAUGGUUCACCCACACACUGCUCAUUCUAUUGCUACUCUUGUGGAAGAGUGCACAGAAGAAUGGGGGAUCCCAAAGGAAAAAAUUCUCAUGAUUAUAACAGAUAAUGGAAGCAACAUGGUUUCUGCAUUUCGCCACGAAGAAGAAGACACCAGUUCUGAUGAGAGCGAUUCCCAGGGUAGUGAUGAAGAGGAAGAGGCAGAUGAAAGAUAUGGAGCCUUGGAGAGUGUGGUCCAUACCCUUCAGCUUGUCGUCAAUAGGAUCAAGAAGGAACAAGCAAUCAAACGUCUACUGGACAAGGUCCAGCAUGUGGUGAAACAGUUUCGCAAAUCAUCUGUUGCCACAGAACGGUUGCUGGAAGAAUGUGGACGCAUUCUCAUCAAAGACUGUCCAACCAGAUGGUCCAGUUCUUUUUUGAUGUUGUCUCGUUUACUUAAAAUAAAAGGACCAUGUGACAUCAGUGGCUGACACCAUGGGCUGGGAUUGCCUACUUCCCAGUAAAUGGCAGAAGGUGGCCAUCCUCAAAGACUUGCUCCUUCCAUUUGCAGAACACACAAAGGUGCUUGAAAGUGAUACAAGUUGUUUCUCCCUGGUUGUGCCUGCACUACUGGACUUGAAAAGCCACCUUUCAGACUUCUCCCUUGUUCAUGCCAGAAGCUACAGGGAUGUAGCUACACUGGCACAGAAGAUGUCUGCAGAUAUGCAUCUACGCUUCAGUUGUUUCCUGGAUGUGUCAGCAAGCAAGUUUUAACCUCUUGCUGCAGCUGCUUGUUUUGUUGACGCCAGUGUGUCAGCAGAGGCCCUUAUUGAAAAUUAUCAUGACGACAUACAGAAUCUCCUCAGUAAAGCUGAAGAGUACAUCACUCGCAGUGUACCAUACCAGGAAGAGGCGACAGAUGAUGAGGACAUUGGAAGUGCAGAGGUCUCAGAUGCACCUCUGCAAAAGCGGCCUAGAUUCAGGUUUUUGAGUGCCCAUCGGCCAUCAAGGCCAAAGACCUCCAAAACCUCAAUCCGACUAGAGGUACAAAAAUUCAAAGAAGCUCUGUCCCACGCAAACCCAGACGAUUCGGGCAUGGAUUUCUGGUUUUCUUAAAGCUCCACCCUGUUUCCACUGCUGAAACCUCUGGCAUUGGACCUUCUGGCAAUGCCAGCUUCCAAAGCCUUUGCACAGCGAGUCUUUAGUUUAACUGGAGAUCUUUCAAGUGGCCGCCGCAACAGAGCAAGAGUUACAUUAGAAAGAAGUGCUUUUCUAAAACUUAACAAAGUCUACAGUGAUUAACUGUAUACUGUUUUGGUUAUAGUUUGGUUAUAGUUUUGUUCUUCUUUAAUAAGAAGGGUUCAA